CCAUUGCUGAGGAGUGCCAUACCAGGACGAAACGGCCGUCUAAUGC
rfam:Schistosoma mansoni strain Puerto Rico chromosome 5, complete genome